UACAGAGGGUGCGAGCGUUAAUCGGAAUUACUGGGCGUAAAGCGCACGUAGUCGGCUUUGCAAGUCGGGUGUGAAAUCCCCGGGCUCAACCUGGGAACUGCAUCCGAGACUGCAUUGCUAGAGUAUGGGAGAGGGAAGCGGAAUUUCUGGUGUAGCAGUGAAAUGCGUAGAUAUCAGAAGGAACAUCAGUGGCGAAAGGCGGCUUCCUGGACCAAUACUGACGAGUC
rnacentral:rRNA from 1 species